rnacentral:rRNA from 1 species
UACGUAGGGGGCAAGCGUUGUUCGGAAUUAUUGGGCGUAAAGAGCUCGUAGGCGGCCUGUCACGUCGGCUGUGAAAACCCGGGGCUCAACCCCGGGCCUGCAGUCGAUACGGGCAGACUAGAGUGCGGUAGGGGAGACUGGAAUUCCUGGUGUAGCGGUGAAAUGCGCAGAUAUCAGGAGGAACACCGGUGGCGAAGGCGGGUCUCUGGGCCGUAACUGACGCUGAGGAGCGAAAGCGUGGGGAGCGAACAGG